AUGAAAAAGACCAAGUGCGGCUGUGCACAGCAUUGUUGGCCGAGUGAUGAACAAAGGAGCCAGCCACAAAGGAGAAGGCAGUGCAUGGAGUCACUCACUUAAAAGCAAAUAAGGCUCUGACCUUUCCAAAUUGUGGGAGCUGCUUCUGUGUGCAUUUCAAGGCUCAUGUGCUGGAGCCUCAUGUCUGCGGAGAAGCCUGGGUGUAAACUAAAGGGAGCAAGCAUUAUCUGGAAUCCAAGAGUACACACUGGGACCCACAGGAUGGGCGAGAACUCCCUCUGCUUUUGAUGAGGCAGGCCUCUUGCUGGAGAAGCUGGUGCCCACUUCACACAGCUAAAUGCACACCUGGCCCAAGUGAGAGGGAUUCCAGGAGGGAGUAGAGCAUUGCCAGACCUACUGCUGCCUGCACGGAGGAGGUGACCUGGCAAGGAAGCACCCCUACAACUGUUACCUCUCUUCCAUGGCCUUCUAAAAUGUCACUGUGCCCACUGAAACUAAAAUUAUUUCAGAGGAAGAUCUCCGAGAAACAGCUCAGCCUAGUAAGUUGGCAGAUUAUAAAGCUGCCUCUUAAUGGCACUGACUCCGACCUGCUGUGUUGCUUUGUUUUUCCUGGAAGUACUAGGGAUCGAACCUGUGACCUUGAACAUGCUAUCUCAGCACUUCAUCACUGAGCUGCAUCUCCAGACUCCACUCUGGCACUUUCUGUAGAACAAAAUAAAAGACUAGCUAAGGCUCUUUCUUA